AAAAUAUAUUUAAUAUUUUAAUAAGAUGAAUGCUGGAUAAAUAAAUAUGUGAAAUUCAUCCAUAAAUGAUGGUUUGUGUUCUGUUAUUCAGGUGAAGAAUGAUGUCACUGAGUCACUGAGCAGAAGGAGAAUCUCCAACAAGAUGGAGUCUAGAAAGCAACCGGCAUCACCUUCCUUCGAAAAAGUCUCAUCUUCCACGAGCCCCUUCCUUGCUCCACCUCCGACCCCCGGCAAGGAGUUCAGUUCAGCUUUUAGUUCUGAAAGCAGCUCCCCUUUCAUCGUCAGUGGUGAUCCACUGCUGACGACAGCAAAUCUGUGCAGCAGUCCUGCUUUUGGACUUCACGCACUACAUUUAAGCCACUCUGAGUUUGGAAGGCUUAAAAGUCCCAGUUUAUUAUUUUUGCCUGCUCAGUUACAAAUGGGUCAAUUUGAAGGUAAGAAGGCCUAAUGUACAAUUGUUUUUAAAUAAUAAGAUAAACCCGGUUUGAUUGGAAAUACAUUUUAAAAAGUUAUUAAAUUACCAUGAAAAGCAUGACUAAAGGAAGGAUUCUGCUCCAAAAUGUUUCUGAUGUAUAUUGCAAAAUCAAUGAACAUGGUUUACAUUAUGUGAAUAUUGAUACUAAUUAAAAACUAUUCAAACUUUGGGUUUUCUUACAGAGGCUACGUUCACACUGCAGGCAAAUCCGACCCA